GACGAACGCUGGCGGCGUGCUUAACACAUGCAAGUCGAACGGAAAGGCCCUGCUUGCCGGGUGCUCGAGUGGCGAACGGGUGAGUAACACGUGGGUGAUCUGCCCCUUACUUUGGGAUAAGCCUGGGAAACUGGGUCUAAUACUGGAUAGGACCAUGCUGUAGGUGGUGUGGUGGAAAGAUUAGUUUCGGUAAGGGAUGAGCUCGCGGCCUAUCAGCUUGUUGGUGGGGUAAUGGCCUACCAAGGCGUCGACGGGUAGCCGGCCUGAGAGGGUGGACGGCCACAUUGGGACUGCGAUACGGCGCAGACUCCUGCGGGAGGCAGCAGUGGGGAAGAUUGCACAAUGGGCGCAAGCCGGAUGCAGCGACGCCGCGUGGGGGAUGACGGCCUUCGGGUUGUAAACUCCUUUCAGCCAUGACGAAGCCCUUGUGGCGACGGUAGUGGUAGAAGAAGCACCGGCUAACUACGUG
rnacentral:rRNA from 1 species